UAUGGUCACAUCACAUUGAAACACUGGUUCCUCUACAAUCACCAGAGUUAAGCAACAUUGAGUCUGGUCAGUACUGAGAUUGGUGACCGUUUGAGAAUACCAGGUGCUGUAA